rnacentral:rRNA from 1 species
UGCAGCAGGCGCGAAAACUCUACAAUGCAGGCAACUGCGAUAGGGGAACAUCGAGUGAUACUCAUCUUGGGUGUCUGUCCUCCCGUCUAAAAAACGGGAGUUAGCAAGGGCCGGGCAAGACCGGUGCCAGCCGCCGCGGUAAUACCGGCGGCUCGAGUGGUGGCCGAUAUUAUUGAGUCUAAAGGGUCCGUAGCCGGCUUUGCAAGUCUUUUGGGAAAUCCAGCGGCUUAACCGUUGGUCGUCCGGGAGAUACUACAUUGCUUGGGACUGGGAGAGGUAGGAGGUACUCAGGGGGUAGGAGUGAAAUCCUGUAAUCCUUUGGGGACCACCGGUGGCGAAGGCGUCCUACCAGAACAGGUCCGACGGUGAGGGACGAAAGCUAGGGGCACGAACCGGAUUAGAUACCCGGGUAGUCCUAGCCGUAAACGAUGCUCGCUAGGUGUCACAACAAUCGUGAAUUGUUGUGGUGCCGUAGGGAAGCCGUGAAGCGAGCCACUUGGGAAGUACGACCGCAAGGUUGAAACUUAAAGGAAUUGGCGGGGGAGCAC